GUGCAAGUGAUGUGAACGUGUUUUACCACUGAGUAAAGUGAUGUUUCCAAAGGAACCACUGAUGCAC
rfam:Aptenodytes forsteri contig36270, whole genome shotgun sequence.